rnacentral:tRNA from 1 species
AGGCCCUGGCCGAGGAGGGCCGGUCGUGCGUGGCGAUCGCGAUCGGCCUGGUCGGGGUGCUGCUGGUGUCCGGGCUCAUCGAGGGCUUC